CCGUGGAUGGCGUAGCGGUCAUCGCAUCGGAUUCAAGAGUUAUUACGCUUUUGCAUGUGCAAUGCGCCCCGACACUCGUGGGUUCAAAUCCCACUUCACGGA
rfam:Tilletiaria anomala TBC 951 K437scaffold_12, whole genome shotgun sequence.